rnacentral:rRNA from 1 species
AAAUUGAAGAGUUUGAUCAUGGCUCAGAUUGAACGCUGGCGGCAGGCCUAACACAUGCAAGUCGAACGGUAACAGGAAGCAGCUUGCUGCUUCGCUGACGAGUGGCGGACGGGUGAGUAAUGUCUGGGAAACUGCCUGAUGGAGGGGGAUAACUACUGGAAACGGUAGCUAAUACCGCAUAACGUCGCAAGACCAAAGAGGGGGACCUUCGGGCCUCUUGCCAUCGGAUGUGCCCAGAUGGGAUUAGCUAGUAGGUGGGGUAACGGCUCACCUAGGCGACGAUCCCUAGCUGGUCUGAGAGGAUGACCAGCCACACUGGAACUGAGACACGGUCCAGACUCCUACGGGAGGCAGCAGUGGGGAAUAUUGCACAAUGGGCGCAAGCCUGAUGCAGCCAUGC